UACGUAGGGAGCAAGCGUUAUCCUGAUUUACUGGGUGUAAAGGGCGUGUAGGCGGCAAGGCAAGUCAGAAGUGAAACCCGUCGGCUUAACCGACGACCUGCUUUUGAAACUGUCGAGCUAGAGUACUGGAGGGGUAUGCGGAACUCCUGGUGUAGCGGUGAAAUGCGUAGAUAUCAGGAAGAACACCGGUAGCGAAGGCGGCUUACUGGACAGUUACUGACGCUCAGGCUCGAAAGCGUGGGGAGCAAAC
rnacentral:rRNA from 1 species